GAUGAACGCUGGCGGCGUGCCUAAUACAUGCAAGUCGAGCGAACGGACGAGAAGCUUGUUUCUCUGAUGUUAGCGGCGGACGGGUGAGUAACACGUGGAUAACCUACCUAUAAGACUGGGAUCACUUCGGGACACCGGAGCUAAUACCGGAUAAUCUUUUGCACCGCAUGGUUCAAAAGUGAAAGUCGGUCUUGCUGUCACUUAUCGCUGGAUCUGCGCUGCAUUAGCUAGUUGGUAAGGUAACGGCUUACCAAGGCAACGAUGCAUAGCCGACCUGUGAGGGUGAUCGGCCACCCGGGAACGGAUACGCGGUCCAGGCUCCUACGGGAGGCAGCAGUAGGGAAUCUUCCGCAAUGGUCGAAAGCCUGACGGAGCAACGCCGCGUGAGUGAUGAAGGUCUUCGGAUCGGAAAACUCUGUUAUUAGGUAAGAACAGAUGUGUAAGUAACUGUGCACAUCUUGACGGUACCUAAUCAGAAAGCCACGGCUAACUACGUG
rnacentral:rRNA from 1 species